GAUGAACGCUGGCGGCGUGCCUAACACAUGCAAGUCGAGCGAAGCGCUUAAAUUAGCUUUCUUCGGAAUGACGAUUUUUGUGACUGAGCGGCGGACGGGUGAGUAACGCGUGGGUAACCUGCCUCAUACAGGGGGAUAACAGUUAGAAAUGACUGCUAAUACCGCAUAAGACCCCAGCUUCGCAUGAAGCGGUGGUAAAAACUCCGGUGGUAUGAGAUGGACCCGCGUCUGAUUAGCUAGUUGGUAAGGUAACGGCUUACCAAGGCGACGAUCAGUAGCCGACCUGAGAGGGUGACCGGCCACAUUGGGACUGAGACACGGCCCAGACUCCUACGGGAGGCAGCAGUGGGGAAUAUUGCACAAUGGGGGAAACCCUGAUGCAGCGACGCCGCGUGAAGGAUGAAGUAUUUCGGUAUGUAAACUUCUAUCAGCAGGGAAGAAAGUGACGGUACCUGACGAAGAAGCCCCGGCUAACUACGUG
rnacentral:rRNA from 1 species